rnacentral:lncRNA from 1 species
UUCAAGAAAAUCGAUCGUUGAUUUGUUCGACUUCAGAUGGAAGGUCGGAAGUCCUCCAACGACUACGACUUCUACACUGUUCAGUCUUUCUCUCAGUGCAUCUUGGAUGAACCGAUUUCGUCUUAAUUCAAGAUACCGUAGAUGGAGCCAUACGAUGGCUUCACCUAUCCGAUGACCAUUUAGAGAGCUAUAAGGCUCUCAUGAUGAUCCAUGAAGCAACCGACGUCCUCUUAUGCAUCGACUUUCUGACAACUA